GGAAAGGAAGCAGGCACAACGGGAUCGUUGCUGUGCUU
rnacentral:SRP_RNA from 14 species